AUGAACAGAGGUUUAAGAAGCACUUGUCAAGCAGGCAGCUCAACUCUACCUCUUGCUGAUGGACCAAAAAUGGUUACUUCUUCUGGUGAUAAAAUUCCAAAUGAGAAGUAGCCCUCAGAAGAACACUAUCUCCUCUUCAGAUUGCAUGUUUUCCUGCCAGUAAAGUCACUGAUGAAAAGACUGGAGAAAACUGAUUGAAAAACAAAUUCAGAAGCUCUCCAUUUCUAUAAGAACUGCAGCAGCAUUACAGAGAAAAUAAGUGAUACUAUCUGAUGAUCAGUUUGAUCAGGGUGACAAUAAUAUAUUCACACCUUGACUCCUGUUCUAUAAUUUUAUCACACAGGAAC
rnacentral:lncRNA from 14 species